rnacentral:lncRNA from 1 species
AAUAGAGAGAGAGUGAGAAAGAGCGAGAGCUUGGGGGGGCAGUCUCUGGAUUGGUGUUCUGGGCAAUUUCAACUUCAGGGCAACUUUUGAGAACUUCAGUUAUUUUUGGUUCUGACAUACAGCUGAGACCAGGGGAGCCUGAGGUUGAGGCUGAUGCAGAAGAAGACGAUUCUGUCAAUGAAGUGACAAUAGAAAACAUACGGCCAAGGCCACAAGGAUCCUCUCCAGUUUAUGAGUAUUCCAUAGAAGAAGAAUAUUUUAACAAAAAGCUACAAGAAGAUACAGAGAAUGAAAAAU